ensembl:lncRNA
GUGCAACACUGUACUUGCCAUUCAAUCAAACAACUUAGCUUCCAAACUAAAGCACAUUAUACAGAGAGUACACAUAUUUCUAUAAAUAUUCAAAAUAUCUAUAAAAUAUCUGUAAUACCUGAAACUCAAGCAUUUCAAGGAAGUUUUUUUUAAAUACUGCAUAGUUCACUAUCCUACCUAACAAAUAUCCUCCUCUCAAUUUUAUAGCUAUAACGCUCUUUUGACAAUUUACUCCUAUCAAACUCACUUAAUAUUGACAGAAGCCGAAGUGCUCACAAGAAGAAGGAAAGAAGAGUAACCCACCAGUCUCAAAAUGCAGUCUUCUCUCAAACUUUUUUAUGCUCCAGUAAGUCUGUCCUCCUUUCUUUUUUGCUCUCUUUCUUUCUCUCUCUCUACUUCUCUUUUUCUCUCACUCGUUCUUUUCCCCUCAUACACUCACAGUGCUCCCUACAAACUUCUCCUCUCCUCCUGUAUGCAAAUCAUUUUUAUGACUUGAGAGUCGGCUGGAGACGAGGGAACAAGGGAGAGAGAGAGGAGAGGGAAGAGACCGAGCAAGGGAGAGGGAAGGAGGAGAGGAGAUAAAUGGUUGAAGGCAGACGACCAAUGGGCCUGGAGAUUAAUGGAAAAAAAGGAAUGAGGGCAGCACCAAUGAGGCAAAGCGAAGGGGCGAGAAAGAGAUGGAGGGAGGAGAGGCAGGGAAGGAAACGAUGGUGAGAGAGUGCACAGCCGAGAGGAGAGACAGCGGAAGAAAGAGUGGAGUGGCAGACAGAGAGAGAGAGAGGGGAGAAGAGAAGCAAAGGACAUGCAUGGCAGGGGCUAGCUACCCCACUGUGACGGAGGGACUGCAGCAAAGGAGAGAACAGAAGAGAAGGGAGAGAAGGAGAAGUGUGUGGCUUACCGUAGUGUUACUGGCAUCCUCAGACAGCCACGCAGACAGACUCCUCACCCUGUGAGACGCACACGGCACAGCACACCGUACCGAGAUUGAUGAAUACCAAAAACAUCAAAGAAGAACGCCAAGCCGCCUGGUACCCUAAAGCAAGUGUGCGUCUAGGACCUGAGCACUAGGACCAUGCCUCAGGACUACCUGGCAUGAUGACUCCUUGCUGUCCCCAGUCCACCUGGCCGUGCUGCUGCUCCAGUUUCAACUGUUCUGCCUGCGGCUAUGGAACCCUGACCUGUUCACCGGACAUGCUACCUGUCCCAGACCUGCUGUUUUCAACUCUCUAGAGACAGCAGGAGCGGUAGAGAUACUCUUAAUGAUUGGCUAUGAAAAGCCAACUGACAUUUACUCCUGAGGUGCUGACCUGCUGCACCCUCGACAACUACUGUGAUUAUUAUUAUUUGACCAUGCUGGUCAUUUAUGAACAUUUGAACAUCUUGGCCAUGUUCUGUUAUAAUCUCCACCCGGCACAGUCAGAAGAGGACUGGCCACCCCUCAUAGCCUGGUUCCUCUCUAGGUUUCUUCCUAGGUUUUGGCCUUUCUAGGGAGUUUUUCCUAGCACAGUGCUUAUUCACCUGCAUUGCUUGCUGUUUGGGGUUUUAGGCUGUGUUUCUGUUCAGCAUUUUGAGAUAUCAGCUGAUGUAAGAAGGGCUAUAUAAAUACAUUUGAUUUGAUUUGAUUACUGUAUUUCAACCAGAGUGCUGUCAACUUUGUUCCUAGGGCAACUCUGCCCUGGGGAUAGACAGAAGGAAUAUGUUUGGCUUGCUCAAAGGUCAAUUGUUGGAUUUGCCAGAUUCAGUUAUCGCAUUCGCAGCACUAUUGCUUGCUACUACGAACCUAACAACGGGUAAGCUACUUAAUGUUACUUUUACAAAUACUUAUUUUUAGGUAGCAACCACCUUACAGUGCUAAAUAUUACUAAUACAACAAUAAUAACAACUAGUGUCAAACAACAGUAGCAAUAGCUAGCUGACGUUAGCUAGCUAGGUGGGUCGUCAAUCCAUGUAGCUAACUCACUAGCUUGCUAGAUAACUAUCUGUUAGUCAGGGCAGCUUGCAACAUCAGUAAGAAGCUUGUUUUUUUUGUGACAGAUAAUCAUACAGCUUGCUACCUAGCUUGCUGUGUAACGUUAGUUCAUAGCUACCUGGAUGGGUCGUCAAUCCAUGUAGCUAGCUAGCUAUUUUAGGUAUCUAUGUUAGCUAGCUAGUGAGUUACUAACUGACUACAUAGCUAGAUAACUAGAUGUUAGCCAGGGCAGCUUGCAACAUCAGUAAGACGCUUGCUGUGAAACAUUAGUUUUUGCAAGUAGUAAGCCAGCUAGCUUGAUGCAAAGUCUUCGAACAACAGUUGAACAGUUCUGCAUAGCUAGCUACAUCAAAAGUCAGUCUUUCCGCUAUAGUAGUUUAGCUGUGGCGCUAAAUCGCUGUUGCCACUCCAAAAAAUAUGAUUUUAUAAAAAUUGGGGGGAGGGAAAACGAUCUAAAUCGACAUCGAAAUUAUUAAAACCAAAUCGAAACUGUGUUGAAAUUGGCGCCUUAUAAAACCUAACGGUGCUCACAUUUAUCUUGGGACAGUCUUUAUUCAUAGUGUAGUUAUAGCAGAUGGUGUCUUCCAUUCAGUAUAUAUCAGCCUCAAGAUCAGCAUUAUCUCAGUGAUUGAAUGUUAGUGUGCAUAAGUGAGGCCAACAAAGUUGAUUGAGUUCUACCAUCUGUCUCAUCUUGUCAAACCAGUGUAUAGCUAGCUAGCUUGAGGGGAGCGUUGGUAUGAGCAGUAAAAUGGCAAAAUGCCUAUAAUAUUAUACAGUUGAAGUCGGAAGUUUACAUACACCUUAGCCAAAUACAUUUAAAUUCUGUUUUUCACAAUUCCUGACAUUUACUCCUAUUAAAACUUCCCUGUCUUAUGUCAAUUAGGAUCACCACUUUAUUUUAAGAAUGUGAAGUGUCAGAAUAAUAGUAGGGGGAAGGAUUUAUUUAAGCUUUUAUGUCUUUCAUCACAUUCCCAGUGGGUCAGAAGUUUAUAUACACUCAAUUAGUAUUUGGUAGCAUUGCCUUUAAAUUGUUUAACUUUGGUCUAACAUUUCAAGGUAGCCUUCCACAAGCUUCCCACAAUAAGUUGGGUGAAUUUUGUCCCAUUCCUUCUGACAGAGCUAUUGUAACUGAGUCAGGUUUGUAGGCUUCCUUGCUCGCACAUGCUUUUUCAGUUCUGCCCACACAUUUUCUACGAGAUUGAGGUCAGGGCUUUGUGAUGGCCACUCCAAUACCUUGACUUUGUUGUCCUUAAGCCAUUUUGCCACAACUUUGGAAGUAUACUUGGGGUCAUUGUCCAUUUGGAAGACCCAUUUGUGACAAAUAACUUCAUGACUGAUGUCUUGAGAUGUUGCUUCAAUAUAUCCACAUAAUUUUCCUCCUCAAGAUGCCAUCUAUUUUGUGAAGUGCACCAGUCCCUCCUGCAGCAAAGCACCCCCACAACAUGAUGCUGCCACCCCCGUGCUUCACGGUUAGGAUGGUGUUCUUCAGCUUGCAAGCUUCCCCCUUUUUCCUCCAAACAUAACAAUGGUCAUUAUGGCCAAACAGUUCUAUGUCUGUAUCAUCAGACCAGAGGACAUUUCUCCAAAAAGUAUGAUCUUUGUCCCCAUGUGCAGUUGCAAACGGUAGUCUGGCUUUUUUAUGGCCUUGCUGAGCGGCCUUUCAGGUUAUGUCGAUAUAGGACGUGUUUUACUGUGGAUAUACAGUGGGGGAAAAAAGUAUUUAGUCAGCCACCAAUUGUGCAAGUUCUCCCACUUAAAAAGAUGAGAGAGGCCUGUAAUUUUCAUAAUGUGUACACUUCAACUAUGCCAGACAAAAUGAGGAAAAAAAAUCCAGAAAAUCACAUUGUAGGAAUUUUAAUGAAUUUAUUUGCAAAUUAUGGUGGAAAAUAAGUAUUGACCACAUUUUUGCCCCACUGUAGAUGCUUUUGUAGGUACAGGUACACUUCCAAUUGACUCAAAUGAUGUCAAUUAGCCCAUCAGAAGCUUCUAAAGCCAUGACAUAAUUUUCUGGAAUUUUCCAAGCUAUUUCAAUUCACAGUCAAUUUAGUAUAUGUAAUCUUCUGACCCACUGGAAUUGUGAUACAGUGAAUUAUAAGUGAAAUAAUCUGUCUGUAAACAAUUGUUGGAAAAAUUACAAAGUAUAUGUCCUAACUGACUUGCCAAAACUAUAGUUUGUUAACAAGAAAUUUGUGGAGUGGUUGAAAAAUGAGUUUUAAUGAAUCCAACCUAAGUGUAUGUAAACUUCCGACUUCAACUGUACAUUCAGCUAUGACUUUACGUUCUAUAGCCUACUGAAGAAGUGGAACAAUAACAAUUUAAAUUGUGCAUGAUUUUUGUUUGAUUAGCUUAAAGUGUUUGUUCAUUCUUAUCUCUGAAUUUGCUUUGUUCUAUUGUAAUUUACAACAUUUGUCUUUUCUAUAGGAAAUAGAGGGUGUAUGGUUGAGAGGAGUUGAGAAGCAUCUUAAAGAGAAAGAUGAGAGGCUGGAACGUGAGGUUGUCCUUUAUAGAUGGAGAUGAGGAGGAAUGUACAUAGAGAAGCUUCAAACAGAAACCAAAACAUAAUUCAAAGCAGUUCACUCUCUCAGUAACGAAUACUUCCACUAUUCAUGUGAAUGAAGCAGCAAACCAAUAGGGUGAAGCAUAGGAAAACCAUGUGACACUAGGGCUAAUUGGUGUGGGGCCUAUGAUUCUUUUUAUAUGGUUAGGGACACUUGUUUUAAAGGUGCUGUCGUACACAAAAUGGUAAAACACAUUGGACAUGACUAUGCUGAUGCAAAACAGGGGGUUGUCACCGCAUUGAUCCUGAGCUUCUGUCCUUUGUGGAGUUGUGGCUUUCUCAAUGAUGCUUUAUAUUAGAGGUGCUUGUGAAGAUUUGUGAUUGGGCUAUGAGUGAAGGACACAGCAACAAACGAGACCGGUGUUACUUUCAAGCCCCUAAAGAUGUUUGCAACAUCAAACGACGCUUGAAAGCCUUAUCAGUCCUUGAUGUGAAAGAUAACACCAGUGUAGAAAAGCUAGUCAAUUCUGAUCUGAAGGACAACAUUCUAAUCUAUCAUCCUCUCUGUAAUGUAUCUAAGCAGCAUCUGAUGAUAGUUGUCCAAAGAAAAUGGACAAAACAACAACUACAAGAGAACCCACUUCCCAUUGUAUUUCUGGAUGCCACUAACCUAUGGUUAGCGUUCUAUGCUAUCCUUACCAUCAAGCAUAGUGGUAGAGGACUUCCUAUAGCAUGUUUAAUUCUGAGGAAACAACUGACACUAUAGGGGAAGUAUUUAGAGAAAUUAUGGCAGGCCAAUCCAUGCUUAAUUCCCAGUCAAGAUCAUCAUUUAAUUUUUGGUAAAACACUCGUCUAAUACCAUUGUAUACACUCUAUUGUGGACAGUGUUCAAAAACUGUUGUCAUCAUAAUCAGCAUUCUUAUUAAUUGCUUUGACACUCACUAUUUCGGGAAACCUCAUCUCCUACUGUGUGCAACCAACCAUCAUAACAUAACGUGUGACCCUCGCUUCUAACCUGUAACAAUCCUUCCAUCCAUCCCAUCCAUCCAUUUCUAGCUCUCUAUUUUAUCUCACUUGUGUUUGGUUUUAUAUGUCUGUGAUGAAUGAUAGAGACCUCAAAGAGUUGAAUGCAGUCAGAAAAGUGUUCCAGAGUCCAAGAUCCUAUUGUGCUGGUUUCAUGUGCUUCAGGUGUGUAAGAUAAGAGACUGACCUCAUAUAUGUUACUUCUGAUUUUAUUCAAUGACGAAGGUGCAUAAAGACGAAUUCCUCCCCAUGCAAACGCUCAUUCGCCGUAUCGUAUAGUUCCCUCCGUUACUCUUUUUUUGAAUUGACAUUAGCACAGUAUACAUGAUCCUAAAUAUAGCUCCAAGACCGCAGCAAUUAGAAAUAACGAAGAAGCUGAUUGUGCAGAUUUAAAGGCACACUGAACCAUGUCGCGCGUCGUAGUUUAAAGUCUGUGGAUAGUGCUCAAACAAUGACGUCAUAUCUGAACUCCUCUUUCUUCAUGCACCUUCGCCAUUGAAGCAGGGCCUAAUGACUUUGUUCUUGUAAUACUUCAAUAGGCAGUUAGAAGAUGGUUGACUAGGAGAAAUGGGGGCAGCAUGUCUGUGGGGAGCCGCAAUAGGGCCAUUAUCCUUGUCUUCUAUGUAUUCAUGUGACUGGUAAACGUGCUUCUUGGAAAAAAACGUUGCUAGCUUGUUAGCUAAGCUAACGUUAGCUAGCUAACUUAGCUAGCUAGAUUCCCAAAGUAGCCAUAUCCCCCUCUCCAAAAAUAAUUUGUUAAAUAGGCUUCUUCAGAGUAAAUCAAGGUAAAACUGUUUAAUUUAUUUCAUCUACUCAUUCAACUCACUUCUUGGAUAUGGCUUGCACAAAAUACUUUUGCUAGAUAGCAUGUUAACAGGCACCUGUCAUGGUGGAUCAUGAUUACUGUUGGACUUGCAAAGAAAUCUUGUUGCCUCUCGUGUAAACCAAGCCUCUUGACCUUUUUGCAAUAACCAAUGAUAACCCUUCUGCCCUAAGAAUAGAGUUAGCUUCAUAUCAAUCUGCAAAAUGCACAUUCUAUUUUAAUCUAUCAGGCAGAUGGAGUUGACAGUUUAUGCUUGUGACCAUGGUCUUUCCAAUAUUGUUUCUUGAAAUCUAUCAAAAGUAGAAACAUUUACAGACUAUAAGUGAUCUUGUUCCACUACAUGUAAUGAGGACAUGAAUAAAGGGUCCUUAUCCCCUUAGAGUUGAUUUCUACAGCCCCGCGGAAAUCUAACUCGCAUAAUAAUAAAAAAUCCCACAACAAUCCUACACCAAUCCAUCAGUAAAAGCUAGAGAUAUCAGUUAUCUUUGCAUUGGAUGCGUCUCAAUCCACCGCAUCUGCCGAUAUCGCACCUCCACAUCUGCGGUGAAAGGUGACAGAGGUAGAGCGGUGUUUGUCAGACCAUGAGACAUCCCGAAAAUCAGUCUUCUCCCAAAAUCGUCUGUAGCGUCCGAGUGGUUUGGCCUACAGUUUCGCUAUCUGUUGUUGAAUGUAGUAAAUCUGUUAUUCAACGUGUUUGUAUGGGCUAUUAGCAGUAAGGCCA